AGUGAACGCUGGCGGUAGGCCUAACACAUGCAAGUCGAACGGCAGCACAGUAAGAGCUUGCUCUUACGGGUGGCGAGUGGCAGACGGGUGAAGAAUACAUCGGAAUCUACUUUUUCUUGCGGGCUAACGUAGGGAAACUUACGCUAAUACCGCAUACGACCUACGGGUGAAAGCAGGGGAUAUUCGGACUUUGCGCGAUUGAAUCAGCCGAUUUCGGAUUUGCUAGUUGGCGGGGUAAAGGCCCACCAAGGCGACGAUCCGUAGCUGGUCUGAGAGGGUGAUCAGCCACACUGGAACUGAGACACGGCCAAGACUCCUACGGGAGGCAGCAGUGGGGAAUAUUGGACGAUGGGCGCAAGCCUGAUCCAGCCAUACCGCGUGGGUGAAGAAGGCAUUCGGGUUGUAAAGCCCUUUUGUUGGGAAAGAAAAGCGGCAGGUUAAUACCCCGCUGUUCUGACGGUACCCAAAGAAUAAGCACCGGCUAACUUCGUG
rnacentral:rRNA from 1 species